rnacentral:tRNA from 2 species
GGCUCUGUAGCUCAGUUGGCUAGAGCGUGCGGUUCAUACCCGCAAGGUCGUGGGUUCGACCCCCUCCGGAGCCACCA